UAACGGUCACUGAAAUAAAAAAGAAGAAGUGUAAUGUUUAAAAAUUCACAAAACUUAAAUCAUAAAAAUAAUUUUCCAUACAAUUGAAAUAAUAACGAUUUCUCUUCAUCUUCAUCAAUCACGGAAUUAACGGAUAGUUAUUCAAGCGACCGGUACCAUGCGAUACAAUCGUGUCACAGAAAUCUACACGGACCCAUGGCCUCUUCCGGAAGCUGAUAGACGACCGCAAAAAAAAACGCCUCAAAGCUGGAACAAUGACACUUAUCAGUCACUCGCGAACCGCAAUCGUCCUUAUUUUUCGAUCCUGGAGGCUACUAGUGCUGGAGCAUACUUCCGAGAACGAUACUAUUACGAAAACAGAUAAAUAUUAUUUUGUAUCAACGACGAAUAAUAUUGUUUUGCGCCCAGUAUGUGGAGAUUAAAAUUUCACGAAAUUUUUUACGGAUUUAUCAUCAUAAAUUUCAUCAAAUUGUUUUGUACAAAUUAUGAAGGAUAUUAAAACUGAGAUUAAAAGAUAAUUAUUUAA